rnacentral:rRNA from 1 species
UACGUAGGGUGCAAGCGUUAAUCGGAAUUACUGGGCGUAAAGCGUGCGCAGGCGGUUUUGUAAGACUGACGCGAAAUCCCCGGGCUCAACCUGGGAAUGGCGUUGGUGACUGCAAGGCUAGAGUUUGGCAGAGGGGGGUAGAAUUCCACGUGUAGCAGUGAAAUGCGUAGAUAUGUGGAGGAACACCGAUGGCGAAGGCAGCCCCCUGGGUCAAAACUGACGCUCAUGCACGAAAGCGUGGGGAGCAAACAGG